AGAGUUUGAUCCUGGCUCAGAUUGAACGCUGGCGGCAUGCCUUACACAUGCAAGUCGAGCGGCAGCGCGGGGGCAACCCUGGUGGCGAGCGGCGGACGGGUGAGUAAUACAUCGGAACGUGUCCUUUUGUGGGGGAUAACCAGUCGAAAGACUGGCUAAUACCGCAUGAGAUCUCACGAUGAAAGCGAGGGACCGCAAGGCCUCGCGCGAUUGGAGCGGCCGAUGUCGGAUUAGCUAGUUGGCGGGGUAAAAGCCCACCAAGGCAACGAUCCGUAGCUGGUUUGAGAGAACGACCAGCCACACUGGGACUGAGACACGGCCCAGACUCCUACGGGAGGCAGCAGUGGGGAAUUUUGGACAAUGGGGGCAACCCUGAUCCAGCCAUGCCGCGUGUGUGAAGAAGGCCUUCGGGUUGUAAAGCACUUUCGGCCGGAACGAAAUCGCCUGCGUUAAUAGCGUAGGUGGAUGACGUACCGA
rnacentral:rRNA from 1 species